CCUGAGGAGAGAGCAGGGAGGGAAGUAGACACUGGGUUCUUUGCUAAAGGCCAGAGCUGCUGGCUGCUUCUGCACUAUAGAGGGUGGAAGAGGGAAAGGAGGAGGAGGUGGCCUCACAGAAUUUGGAGGGAGGGUUGUGCAGACACUCGGUCCUCCGGCUCCUCUUUCCCUCCUCCUGCAUCCACAAUCACCCUCCUUCCUGUUCUUCAACCUCUCCUAGAAAGACUGGCUGAUGACCUUCAACUCCAGAUUGAAGAUUAGCAAAGCCCAAAUCUUCUCAGUGAGUACACACCAUCCCUGUGGGGCAGGCUCGACAAGGUAUUCCAAAGAGGAGAGAUAUUCAGAAGAAAUGCCAAUAGAGACAGGGACACACACCAGCUGGGAGUGCAGACCCAGCCCUUCCCAAUCUGGGAGAUUGGGAAAAUGGGGUUUUGCCUGUGUCCCAAUUAAACCCCUGUCCUGCAAAGAAGGAAGCCAACACCAAGGCCCAAGGACACCAAGGGAGUCAGGAUACCCAGGACCCAACCUCUCUUGCCUUUGCUGGCCAUAUGCCCAUGGUAACUUUGUUCCCCUCUCUGUUUCCUCCUCUGUCAAUGAGCCUGUUGGACUGGAUUGGUGGUUUUUACACUGAGUUUCUGGGGGUCUUGGGGCUUUGGGGACUAUUUCAGAGGUACUGAUGCAUUUGGGAGUAGAGUUUUAGAGAUAGUAUCCCAUUCAGCCCUUUUUUGCUGUGUCUGAGUAAGCUUUUGCUGGAAGAAAGGUUCCCUGGUCUAAAAAAUGUUAGACAUCACUGGAUUAGGUGAACUUUUCAGUUACUUUCUGAUUUCUAAAAUUUCAUGGCUCUUAUAGCAGGUGCAAGAGAGUGACUGGAAAUAAUCCGUUCCUUCAAGCUUCAAUUAUGGAGGUAGCAGGAAGGUUGCUUCAGAACGAGGGCCCUGGAGAAACAAGGUCAAGGAUGGAAGGAAGACAAGGUAUUGCACUCACGUGAGGAGGAUUUAGCCGUGGACACCAGGGCACCGGUGAUGAGGAGGAGGAGGAAGAGGGAGAUGGCAGCCAUGGAGACUUUCAUCCUCCUGGGUUGAGGGAGCUGCUGCAGGAGGAGAACUUGCCUGGGAGGGGCUUCUGAAGCUCCUGGGCUGAGGUGGUGGUGAGAAAUGACCUUCAAGGCAAAGUAUUUCUUAAAAUAAGGGAACCAAGAUUACAAAGGGAAGUAGGAAGCAGUGAUGCCUCAGCAAUUUCAUAUCCUGAACAUUUGUUGAGGGUGGAGUGAGGGAAGCAUGGAGAGCCAAGAUUUCAGGGAGGAAAUUGCCUUCUAUUCCCAGUGGCAAUACAUUUAACUCCUUUGAUAUAAGCCCUUCCUUUGGUAUAGGCUACAACACAGGGCCUGGGGGUACUGUUGCACCCUUAGUUCAAGAUCUAAAGGCUGGGAUGUGGCCUGUGACCAUUUGGGGAGGUUCAGAAUCUGUUUGUCUGGAGAUCAGAGGUGAUUUAGGGUACCAGGAUGAGGUCAGGAGCUCCCCAUGUCCAGUCUCACUCAUCUGGACUAGGAACUCCUCACUUAAACAUUUAACCAGAACCUCCAGCUCCCAGACUCAUUGCUACCCUCUCACCAUACCCUGGGGUGAGGAAACACUGUGAUGCUCAGUAGAUAAUUUAUUUAACAAACAUUACAUAACAGCUACACACACCAGCCACUGUCCCAAAUGUUUUAUGAAUAAUAGCCCAUUUUAUCUUAAAUAAGCAAUGGAGGAAACUGAGGCACAGAGAGCAUAAGUAACUUGCCCAAGCUUUGACAGUUGAUAAGUGGAAUCUGGGUUCAGACCCAGGUAGUCUGGUUCCCAAGUCUGUGUUCUUAACCACUAUGCUGUGGAGAAACCUGGGGACCCCAACUGAGCUGUCUCUGAAAGUGACCUGGCUUUUCUACAAAGCCUCUAGUCUUAGCUCUUUCUGAUCUCGGGUGUAUCCCUUUAGGACCUUCUCCUGGCUUCUGACUUUUGUCACAGAGAAGCUUGAUGAGUACCUAGAAAAUGCUGUGUUCAGGGAUGGCCAGUAGGCUUCACUGAUUAGCAGUGGGCUGGAGUUCUGUGUUGCAUAGUAUUCCAAGGCCAUGUCCACACACCUCAGAAGAAGUGCUGUGACUAACACAUGCAGCUCACGUGCUAUGUAUUUGUCAUCCUUAGAUUGGUCUAAACUGGCCAUUUACUGAGGAGGAAUUCAGGCUCAAGAAAGGGCCAGGGACUUGCUCAUAUUUAUAGGAUGAGCGGGGUGCAGAAUAGAUCCACCUCUGCAGACUCAGUCCAAUGGCCUUUACCAUGUUCAGCUUAGGGGCCAUUUUGCUUACUGUUGCAUUUAGAAGGCUGUUUACAUCUCCUCUCCUCUCCUGGACUCAUCAGGGCAGGGAACAUCUGUUAUUUAUCUUUGCCCAUUCAUAAAGAGCCUAACACAAUUUGUAAAUACAUGUUUUAGAAGAACCAUGAAUAAAGUACUUGAGCUGGUCUAAGUAUGUGCAUCUCACAGGAAAUGGCUGAAUUCUCAUGCUGAGGUGCCAAGACAGCCAUUUAUUAGACAUGUUCUGUAUUUGUUAUCAUCAAUAACAAAACUAUUUAAACUCUUCAAAUCAAACAAUCUAAGGAAAUAAGUUGUUUCUGGGGAGAAUAUGAGUUGGAAGGAAACAGUGUUUACUUUGUUUUCAUGGUGACUUAGCCCACUUGCCAAGUUGUUGCUAGGAACCUUACAGGAAAUCUCUUGAUUUUUCAAGCAGUUAUUAAGUUCCUACCUACAUUAGUCUGUAUAUACUAAUUGCUAAUAAAUAACCCCUAAAUCUCAGGGGAUUAAUUAAA